UACGUAGGGGGCUAGCGUUGUCCGGAUUUAUUGGGCGUAAAGAGCGUGUAGGCGGCCAAGUAGGUCCGGUGUGAAAACUCGAGGCUUAACCUCGAGAUGUCAUCGGAAACCAUUUGGCUAGAGUCCGGAAGAGGAAAGUGGAAUUCCUGGUGUAGCGGUGAAAUGCGCAGAUAUCAGGAAGAACACCAGCGGCGAAGGCGGCACUCUGGGCUGGAAUUGACGCUGAGACGCGAAAGCGUGGGGAGCAAACAGG
rnacentral:rRNA from 1 species